CUUAUCUUGGGUCUUUCAACCGACCCCUUCAAAUGUCAUAAUCUAACCCUUGAUACUACAGUCCUCUAACAUCAUUAUCUAGAGCGGUUAUCAAAUCGUUAUUCCAACAUUUGGUCACUUUAAAUCCAAACUGAAACUAUUUCCACUGCCUAUCUGGCUAAUGUGUGCUUGUUCCGCAUCAUUCAUCUGAUAGGUGUUCACACAUGAUGGUAAUCGCCACGGCAAUGAAAUGCCGGGCCUCUUUCGAUUGGGCGCCAUAUUGUUACGGAUGCCUCCUAUGCGACAGGAGAAUAACUAUCGGCUAGCACGGUAUAUCCCAGGAGUGGUCCCAUCCCGUCAUCUCCGUCCGAGGUUGGAGACCAGAUGGAUUGUCCCAGUCGCCCUCCCUUCCAUGGCCAACCAGUUCCCGGAUCAUCGAUUUCGGUGGCCCCAUAAACCCGCCUACAUCACAACAUCCAUCCCGCACUUACCUGCCCCGAGGGGAUCCUUUUAGCACAUCAUUACACUCAUCGCCUUCAAAUUCAAACAUUAAUCAUAUUUAUUAUAAUUUUACUAAUACUAACACCUACAACAU